rnacentral:misc_RNA from 1 species
GAUGAAGAACGCAGCGAAAUGCGAUAAGUAAUGUGAAUUGCAGAAUUCAGUGAAUCAUCGAAUCUUUGAACGCACAUUGCGCCCGCCAGUAUUCUGGCGGGCAUGCCUGUUCGAGCGUCAUUUCAACCAUCAAGCCCCAGGCUUGUGUUGGGGACCUGCGGCUGCCGCAGGCCCUGAAAACCAGUGGCGGGCUCGCUGUCACACCGGGCGUAGUAGAUUUUAUCUCGCUCAGGGCGUGCUGCGGGUUCCGGCCGUUAAAAGGCCUUUUUUACCCAAGGUUGACCUCGGAUCAGGUAGGAAUACCCGCUGAACUUAAGCAUAUCAAUAAGCGGAGGA